rnacentral:rRNA from 1 species
GAUGAACGCUGGCGGCGUGCCUAAUACAUGCAAGUCGAGCGAACGGACGAGAAGCUUGCUUCUCUGAUGUUAGCGGCGGACGGGUGAGUAACACGUGGAUAACCUACCUAUAAGACUGGGAUAACUUCGGGAAACCGGAGCUAAUACCGGAUAAUAUUUUGAACCGCAUGGUUCAAAAGUGAAAGACGGUCUUGCUGUCACUUAUAGAUGGAUCCGCGCUGCAUUAGCUAGUUGGUAAGGUAACGGCUUACCAAGGCAACUAUGCAUAGCCGACCUGAGAGGGUGAUCGGCCACACUGGAACUGAGACACGGUCCAGACUCCUACGGGAGGCAGCAGUAGGGAAUCUUCCGCAAUGGGCGAAAGCCUGACGGAGCAACGCCGCGUGAGUGAUGAAGGUCUUCGGAUCGUAAAACUCUGUUAUUAGGGAAGAACAUAUGUGUAAGUAACUGUGCACAUCUUGACGGUACCUAAUCAGAAAGCCACGGCUAACUACGUGCCAGCAGCCGCGGUAAUACGUAGGUGGCAAGCGUUAUCCGGAAUUAUUGGGCGUAAAGCGCGCGUAGGCGGUUUUUUAAGUCUGAUGUGAAAGCCCACGGCUCAACCGUGGAGGGUCAUUGGAAACUGGAAAACUUGAGUGCAGAAGAGGAAAGUGGAAUUCCAUGUGUAGCGGUGAAAUGCGCAGAGAUAUGGAGGAACACCAGUGGCGAAGGCGACUUUCUGGUCUGUAACUGACGCUGAUGUGCGAAAGCGUGGGGAUCAAACAGGAUUAGAUACCCUGGUAGUCCACGCCGUAAACGAUGAGUGCUAAGUGUUAGGGGGUUUCCGCCCCUUAGUGCUGCAGCUAACGCAUUAAGCACUCCGCCUGGGGAGUACGACCGCAAGGUUGAAACUCAAAGGAAUUGACGGGGACCCGCACAAGCGGUGGAGCAUGUGGUUUAAUUCGAAGCAACGCGAAGAACCUUACCAAAUCUUGACAUCCUUUGACAACUCUAGAGAUAGAGCCUUCCCCUUCGGGGGACAAAGUGACAGGUGGUGCAUGGUUGUCGUCAGCUCGUGUCGUGAGAUGUUGGGUUAAGUCCCGCAACGAGCGCAACCCUUAAGCUUAGUUGCCAUCAUUAAGUUGGGCACUCUAAGUUGACUGCCGGUGACAAACCGGAGGAAGGUGGGGAUGACGUCAAAUCAUCAUGCCCCUUAUGAUUUGGGCUACACACGUGCUACAAUGGACAAUACAAAGGGCAGCGAAACCGCGAGGUCAAGCAAAUCCCAUAAAGUUGUUCUCAGUUCGGAUUGUAGUCUGCAACUCGACUACAUGAAGCUGGAAUCGCUAGUAAUCGUAGAUCAGCAUGCUACGGUGAAUACGUUCCCGGGUCU